rnacentral:rRNA from 1 species
UACGUAGGCAGCAAGCGUUGUUCGGAAUUACUGGGCGUAAAGAGUGUGUAGGCGGUGUUCUAAGUCUGGUGUGAAAUCUCCCGGCUCAACUGGGAGGGUGCGCUAGAAACUGGAAUGCUAGAGGAUGGGAGAGGUAAGCGGAAUUCCUGGUGUAGCGGUGAAAUGCGUAGAUAUGCGGAGGAACACCGAUGGCGAAGGCAAUCCCCUGGGCCUGCACUGACGCUCAUGCACGAAAGCGUGGGGAGCAAACAGG